GUUUAGUUAUAAAACUUGUCUGUUAUUGUUUCUAUUAUUUGGCAGUCAUGUAUUCGGAGUUUCACGAAAUAAACGUUGUAUAGUGGUACAAAAACAAUCUGGUACCCACGGCGACAGUUCUGAGGGUGGU